rnacentral:rRNA from 1 species
GUGCCAGCAGCCGCGGUAAUACGUAGGCAGCAAGCGUUGUUCGGAAUUACUGGGCGUAAAGGGCUCGUAGGCGUCCAACUAAGUCAGACGUGAAAUCCCUCGGCUCAACCGGGGAACUGCGUCUGAUACUGGAUGGCUUGAGUUCGGGAGAGGGAUGCGGAAUUCCAGGUGUAGCGGUGAAAUGCGUAGAUAUCUGGAGGAACACCGGUGGCGAAAGCGGCGCGCUGGACCACUACUGACGCUGAGGAACGAAAGCUAGGGGAGCAAACAGGAUUAGAUACCCUGGUAGUCCUAGCCCUAAACGAUCAGGACUUGGGGUGCCGCACGUUCGUGCGUCGUCCCGGAGCUAACGCGUUAAGUCCUGCACCUGGGGAGUACGGUCGCAAGACUGAAACUCAAAGGAAUUGACGG